rnacentral:rRNA from 1 species
UACGGAGGGUGCAAGCGUUAUCCGGAUUCACUGGGUUUAAAGGGUGUGUAGGCGGGCUGUUAAGUCAGUGGUGAAAUCUCCGGGCUCAACCCGGAAACUGCCAUUGAUACUAAUGGUCUUGAAUUUUGUUGAGGUAGGCGGAAUAUGUCAUGUAGCGGUGAAAUGCUUAGAUAUGACAUAGAACACCGAUUGCGAAGGCAGCUUACUAAGCAAAUAUUGACGCUGAGGCACGAAAGCGUGGGGAUCAAACAGGA